rnacentral:rRNA from 1 species
GAACGCUGGCGGCGUGCUUAACACAUGCAAGUCGAGCGGAAAGGCCCUUCGGGGUACUCGAGCGGCGAACGGGUGAGUAACACGUGAGUAACCUGCCCUCAACUUCGGGAUAAGCCUGGGAAACCGGGUCUAAUACCGGGUAGGACCUUCGGUGGCAUCGCUGGGGGUGGAAAGUUUUUUCGGUUGGGGAUGGGCUCGCGGCCUAUCAGCUUGUUGGUGGGGUAGUGGCCUACCAAGGCGACGACGGGUAGCCGGCCUGAGAGGGCGACCGGCCACACUGGGACUGAGACACGGCCCAGACUCCUACGGGAGGCAGCAGUGGGGAAUAUUGCGCAAUGGGCGGAAGCCUGACGCAGCGACGCCGCGUGGGGGAUGACGGCCUUCGGGUUGUAAACCUCUUUCAGCAGGGACGAAAUAGGACGUGUACCUGUAGAAGAAGCGCCGGCUAACUACGUGCCAGCAGCCGCGGUAAUACGUAGGGCGCGAGCGUUGUCCGGAAUUAUUGGGCGUAAAGAGCUCGUAGGUGGCUU